rfam:Cryomorphaceae bacterium BACL7 MAG-121220-bin8 contig01356_1_121220-bin8, whole genome shotgun sequence.
ACUCAACACUAAUACAUUAAAAAGGGUGAGUUUAAGUUGUUAAAUCGUGCUGAAUGUUUCAGAUUUUUGAUCAGCUUUGUAACCCUAAACCUAUUAAAAACGGGGUUU